UGUUAAAUUCGAGUUUAUAUUUUAGAAUCUACUGAUGUAGGAAAGAACAACCCCCACCUGCCGGAAAAAGGUGUGCUGGUGAUUUUCCUGGCGUUCUCUGUGCUGCUGGUGGUGGUGGUCACUCUGCUGUUGGUCACUCUGUGUCUAAAGUUUGGAAACAGAAGGAAAAAUACAGAGCCUAAACCGGAGGAAACUGAGCUGCAGCUGCAGAAGAGUUCAGGUGGAGAUAGAGACAGGAGCUCCAGUAAUGAAGAGCAUCUCGUUUCUGCCAAAGACCACAGCGAGGUCCAGUACGCAUCACUGGGACGCCAUAACUUCAGACCUCGAGGAUGGACAAGAGACAGCCGACAGCAAGUCAUCUAUUCCACACUGAUGCUCACGCCAACCAGCUCUCCAACCAACACCUCCAUUACUCCCAGACUGUAGAUCCAACCAGCUCUCCAACCAACACCUCCAUUACUCCCAGACUGUAGAUCCAACCAGCUCUCCAACCAACACCUCCAUUACU
rnacentral:lncRNA from 1 species